UUUGAGACCAGCCUGGCCAACAUGGCAAAACCGUCUCUACAAAAAAUGCAAAAAUUAGGCGGGCGUGGUGGCUUGUGCCUGUAAUCCCACCUACUUGGAGGCUGAGGCAGAGAAUCUCUUGAACCCGGGAGGCAGAAGUUGCAGUGAGCUGAGAUUAUGCCACUGCACUCCAGCCUGGGAGACAGAACCAGACUCUGUCUCAAAACAAACAAACAAACAAAUGAACAAAAACCAAACCAAAACAAAAAGUAUUUUAUUGAACAAUAAUCUACCUAUGUAAUACCCUUUUCUAGUGUACAGCUAUGAGUUCUGACAAAUGGAUACAGUCCUGCAGCCACCACUAUAAUCAAUAUUUAGGACAGGUCCAUCACCCCAGAAAAUCAGAGACCACCACCGUAAUCAAUAUUUAGGACAGGUCCAUCGCCCCAGAAAAUCAGAGACCACCACCGUAAUCAAUAUUUAGGACAGGUCCAUCGCCCCAGAAAAUCAGAGACCACCACCGUAAUCAAUAUUUAGGACAGGUCCAUCGCCCCAGAAAAUCAGAGACCACCACCGUAAUCAAUAUUUAGGACAGGUCCAUCGCCCCAGAAAAUCAGAGACCACCACCGUAAUCAAUAUUUAGGACAGGUCCAUCGCCCCAGAAAAUCAGAGACCACCACCGUAAUCAAUAUUUAGGACAGGUCCAUCGCCCCAGAAAAUCAGAGACCACCACCGUAAUCAAUAUUUAGGACAGGUCCAUCGCCCCAGAAAAUCAGAGAUCACCACCGUAAUCAAUAUUUAGGACAGGUCCAUCGCCCCAGAAAAUCAGAGAUCACCACCGUAAUCAAUAUUUAGGACAGGUCCAUCACCCCAGAAAAUCAGAGAUCAUGGUCUUUUGUAGUCGAUUUCUUCCCCUACCUGCAGCUCUUGGCAACCACUGAUCUGUCUUCUGUCCUUAUCAUUUUUCCUUUUCUAGAAUAAAUGGAAUUGUUGGCUUGUGAGUCUGGCUUCUUUCACUCAGCACAUACAUUCGAGAUUCAUUCACGUUGUUGCUCAUAUCAGCCGUUUAUUCCUUUUGAUUGCUGUACGGUAUUGCAUUGUGUGGAUGUUCAAUAGAUUAUCCAUUUACCAACUGAAGAUGUUUGUGUUAUUUCUAGUUUGGGAGAUUAUAAUAAAUAAAGCUGCUAUAAACA